rnacentral:rRNA from 1 species
GGAGGGGGCUAGCGUUGUUCGGAAUUACUGGGCGUAAAGGGCGCGUAGGCGGUAUGCCAUGUCAGGGGUGAAAGGCCUGGGCUCAACCCAGGAACUGCCUUUGAAACUGGCAAACUAGAGUCCGAUAGAGGAUGGCGGAAUUCCCAGUGUAGAGGUGAAAUUCGUAGAUAUUGGGAAGAACACCAGUGGCGAAGGCGGCCAUCUGGAUCGGCACUGACGCUGAGGCGCGAAAGCGUGGGGAGCAAACAGGGAUUAGAUACCCUGGUAGUCCACGCCGUAAACGAUGUGUGCUAGACGUUGGGGGCCCUUAGGCCCUGGGUGUCGCAGCUAACGCGUUAAGCACACCGCCUGGGGGGUACGGCCGCAGGUUA